rnacentral:RNase_P_RNA from 1 species
UAAGUGGGAUAAAUGGUCGCGGCUGGCAGGCCGAAAGGCGCCAGACGAGGAAAGUCCGGGCUUCACAGGGCAGGAUGCCGGAUAACGUCCGGUGGAGGCGACUCCAAGGAUAGUGCAACAGAAAUAUACCGCUGCCAUCUGGCAGUAAGGGUGGAAGGGCAGUGUAAGAGACUACCGCCCGGCUGGUAACAGCCGGGGCACAUGUAAACCCCAUCCGAAGCAAGACCGAAUCAAGACAUACGGUGGCCCGCCGGUCUUAGGUAGGUUGCUGGAGCCUGGCGGCGACGCCAGGCGUAGAUAGAUGACCAUUCACGACAUAACCCGGCUUAUCGUCCCGCUUACCAU